GGGCCUAUAGCUCAAUUGGUUAGAGCAACUGACUCAUAAUCAGUAGGUUACAGAAUCAUACUCUGUUAGGCCCA
rnacentral:tRNA from 1 species